UUUUAAAAUUUGAUUAUGGUUUUUGAAUAUUUAAAAUGAUAUUAUUUAGGUGUAAUUUAUUAAAUAGGCAAUGAAAAAUUACCUUGGCAAUUAGUUAUUUGUAUUAUAAUAGUUCCAGAAUAAUCGGCUAUGCUAUUAAAAUUUAUACUUUAUUUUUGUUUGUGUAUAAUAAGGUAGAAAGUUUUUAUUUCAUUUUAGGUGGAAUUUUAAUGUUUUUGUUUUGGAGAUUAUAUAAUGAAAGUUUGAUUAACGAAUUAGAUUAGUACCUAAUUAGUCAAAGAUUUAGUAAUUCAGGAGUAAAGUGGAUUUUAAACUGAAAGAAUUUUGGCAGAUAUUUUAAAUUAUCUUUGGAGGUUGAGUAAUAAUUGAGAACCCUCAUUAACUACUUAGGUUUAUUGGCUUAUGUAUGAUCGUUUAUUUUAUGCUUGUGGUUUAAAAUGGUGUUAAUUAUUUAGUUAGAAAAAUAGAUAUAUAUUUAGUUUAUAUUUUAAGUUUAAUUUGACCUACAAUAAGUAAAGUUUUGGAUUAACAAUUUGGUAGUUGUUAUGAAAUUGUAAAAGACAGUAAAAAAAUUUUUAUGUUUUUUUGAAGAAUAUUUAAAAGUGGUACAAAUCAUCCAUCAAUUGCCUAAAGGGGAGUAAGUUGUAGUAAAGUAGAUUUAGGGGAACCUGAAUCUAAAAGUUU
rnacentral:ncRNA from 1 species